UGCUUCGGAAUCUACCUUAUGGUGGGGAAUAACUAGCCGAAAGGUUAGCUAAUACCGCAUACGUCCUACGGGAGAAAGCAGGGGAUCGCAAGACCUUGCGCCAAAAGAUGAGCCGAAGUCGGAUUAGCUAGUUGGUAGGGUAACGGCCUACCAAGGCGACGAUCCGUAGCUGGUCUGAGAGGACGACCAGCCACACUGGGACUGAGACACGGGCCCAGACUCCUACGGGAGGCAGCAGUGGGGAAUAUUGGACAAUGGGGGGAAACCCUGAUCCAGCGACGCCGCGUGUGUGAAGAAGGC
rnacentral:rRNA from 1 species